rnacentral:rRNA from 1 species
CGAACGGGUGAGUAACGCGUGAGGGACCUGCCUCAAAGAGGGGGACAACAGUUGGAAACGACUGCUAAUACCGCAUAAGCCCACGGCUCGGCAUCGAGCAGAGGGAAAAGGAGCAAUCCGCUUUGAGAUGGCCUCGCGUCCGAUUAGCUAGUUGGUGAGGUAACGGCCCACCAAGGCGACGAUCGGUAGCCGGACUGGGAGGUUGAACGGCCACAUUGGGACUGAGACACGGCCCAG